CAGAAAACUUUCAAAAGAACGACUUUUCAGAAAACUACAUUCAGGGGACCAAAGUUUAUUUAAAUUAAUAAAUACUCCAAAUAAACAACACAGAUUUAGAAAGUUAAAUAACACUACCCUCAGAAAACACCAAGAUGUAGAAGGCUAGAUACCUAGUUCCAAAGGCGUUCUGGAUCAAGAACAAUACAAAUAUAUUUUCUUACAAAAUACAUAAGGCAAUGACUUAAGUGUGUUUGUGAAACUUGCAUAUUCUCAGAAACGUGUACUCAAACCCCUGUCUCAUUACAAUAUUUUAUUUUCAUUUAUUUACUGUUUAUUUCUAAUAAAAAAUGUAUAUUGUGA